CGGUUGCCGCUGGCUGAAUGUAUAGGCUGGUUGGUGGUGUGGCGGGGAAGUGAAACAUCUCAGUACCUGCUGUGGAGAAAACAAGAGUGAUUCCGUGAGUAGCGGCGAGCGAAAGCGGAGGAGGCUAAACCUGGUUCGUGUGAUAGCCGGCAGGUGUUGCGGGUCAGGGGUUGUGGGACGUUACCGUUGUCUGCUGCCGCAGGCAGGUUCACGCAUCAGCAGCUAGUCGAACGACGUGGGAAAGUCGACCGGAGAGGGUGAGAGUCCCGUAGGUGAAGGUUGUUGGUGGUGUUCGGGUGGUGUUCCCGAGUAGCGCGGGUUUCGUGGAGGCUCGUGUGAAUCUGGCAGGACCGUCUGCUAAGCCUAAAGAGGUCCGGUGACCGAUAGUGGAGAGUACCGUGAGGGAAUGGUGAAAAGUACCCCGGGAGGGGAGUGAAAGAGUGCCUGAAACCAUGUGCCUGUAAUCCGUCAGAGCCUGGCCUGGAACUUGUUCUGGGUAGUCGGGUGAUGGCGUGCCUUUUGAAGAAUGAGCCUGCGAGUUAUGGUAUGCCGCGAGGUUAAGCCGUUGUGGUGG
rnacentral:rRNA from 1 species